rnacentral:rRNA from 1 species
GAUGAACGCUGGCGGCGUGCCUAAUACAUGCAAGUCGAGCGAACAGACGAGGAGCUUGCUCCUCUGACGUUAGCGGCGGACGGGUGAGUAACACGUGGAUAACCUACCUAUAAGACUGGGAUAACUUCGGGAAACCGGAGCUAAUACCGGAUAAUAUAUUGAACCGCAUGGUUCAAUAGUGAAAGACGGUUUUGCUGUCACUUAUAGAUGGAUCCGCGCCGCAUUAGCUAGUUGGUAAGGUAACGGCUUACCAAGGCAACGAUGCGUAGCCGACCUGAGAGGGUGAUCGGCCACACUGGAACUGAGACACGGUCCAGACUCCUACGGGAGGCAGCAGUAGGGAAUCUUCCGCAAUGGGCGAAAGCCUGACGGAGCAACGCCGCGUGAGUGAUGAAGGUCUUCGGAUCGUAAAACUCUGUUAUUAGGGAAGAACAAAUGUGUAAGUAACAAUGCACGUCUUGACGGUACCUAAUCAGAAAGCCACGGCUAACUACGUG